AGCAGCCGCGGUAAUUCCAGCUCCAAUAGCGUAUAUUAAAGUUGUUGCAGUUAAAAAGCUCGUAGUUGAAUUUCGGGAUUGACCCAUCGGUCGUGCCUUAAGGGGUAUGAACUGGUGUAGUCAAUUUCUCACCUUCUGGAGAACCGCGAUGUCCUUAGUUGGGUGCCGCGAGGAACCAGGACCUUUACUUUGAAAAAAUUAGAGUGUUUAAAGCAGGCAUUUUUGCUUGAAUACAUUAGCAUGGAAUAAUAAAUAGGACGGCAUGAUUCUAUUUUGUUGGUUUCUAGGAUCACCGUAAUGAUUAAUAGGGAUAGUUGGGGGCAUUAGUAUUCAAUUGUCAGAGGUGAAAUUCCUGGAUUUAUUGAAGACUAACUACUGCGAAAGCAUUUGCCAAGGAUGUUUUCAUUAAUCAAGAACGAAAGUUAGGGGAUCGAAGACGAUCAGAUACCGUCGUAGUCUUAACCAUAAACUAUGCCGACUAGGAAUCAGACGGUGUUAAUUUUUAUGUACUUCGUUUGGC
rnacentral:rRNA from 1 species